rnacentral:rRNA from 1 species
UGGGGAAUAUUGCACAAUGGGCGCAAGCCUGAUGCAGCAACGCCGCGUGAACGAUGAAGGUCUUCGGAUCGUAAAGUUCUGUUGCAGGGGAAGAUAAUGACGGUACCCUGUGAGGAAGCCCCGGCUAACUACGUGCCAGCAGCCGCGGUAAUACGUAGGGGGCUAGCGUUAUCCGGAUUUACUGGGCGUAAAGGGUGCGUAGGUGGUCUUUCAAGUCGUUGGUUAAAGGCUACGGCUCAACCGUAGUUAGCGUCCGAAACUGGAAGACUUGAGUGCAGGAGAGGAAAGUGGAAUUCCCAGUGUAGCGGUGAGAUGCGUAGAUAUUGGGAGGAACACCAGUAGCGAGGGCGGCUUUCUGGACUGCAACUGACACUGAGGCACGAAAGCGUGGGUAGCAAACAGG